UGAUAUGCAAAUCGCAUGUAAAUGAGGCAGAUUGAUGGACCCCCGCGGACGCAGUGUGGGUCUCAGAGGAAGAAUGGAGAGGCCUUCUGAAGGUCAGGAUAUUAUUACUCUGACAUGAGCACGUUAAUCGAGACACAAUGCGCGCGCAGACAUGCUAACGCUAACGGCGAUCUGACACGACAGGAUGGAGAGAAACCAGCGCUGACGUCACACCUGUGGAAAUAACACUCAUCAUGUGAUUAGUGAAGUGUGGUGUUUCUGGCGGGUCACACACGUGGCUUCCGUUCACCGGUUCGUUAGGAUCCCGGCGCGCGGGAGCUCGUUAGCAGCCGUGAACUUUGAAAUGUUCUUAAUAUAAGUCAAGCUCGGCUUCAGUCGCGCGGGAGGAGAUGCUAAUUGUGCCAAUAAUAGAGUCCUUCACGCCGUGUAAUUACAGCACGGGAAAACGACAAAAAAGAAAAUCACAAAGCGGCAAAUGUGCAGCGAAUAAUGACAGACUGUCAGCCGCGCGCGGAAAUAACCCACAGCGAGGAGCACGAGCGCGAUCUGAGCAAACACUGCGCUAUCAGCAACUAUAAGCUGUUCAAGCUCCAGUCAUUUCCCAGCAUGCCCUGCAGUGGAGCCCAACACUUUACAGUGCAGUAACACAGCAGAGAGAAGUUCCCAGAUUAGAUCAAGCCAAGCAGCUCGAUUACAUCAUUAAAACAGGAGCGCAGCGGGAGACACGAGGACAGACUCCUAAUGAGAAAACAGAUAAACAUCAUUUAUUUUCCCAUCUUCAUCUGGUGAUCACGGGGCAGAGGAGAUCGAGUCCCUGCACUCGGCAUCUGCUCAUCAAUCUGACAGAAAUACAGGAAUUAUGAGCCAAACACAGCCGAUGAUGAAGAAACGAGAGACUGAACAACUAAAGCAACUGUUGACCCAGAGAUGGACAUUUACUGAUGAUCCCCUCACCCUCAGGAGUGUGUUUCACAUUCAUCCUAAUCUCUGAUGGGUCAGCAUAUCUCCAACACCUUUUCAUUUUUUGGUGCACUAUUCGUUUAUGCCUUGAGAAUAUUAUUUUAAAAUAUUUCUCUUUUUUAGGAGAUUUCUUAUCUUAAUGUUAUUCUUAAAUGUGCAUCACACAGAUAAUGUAUUUCUCAAGAGUAAAUGUUUAAUUCAUGACAAAUAUCCCUAACCUGCUAAAGGACAUCAGAACAUCUCUGCAAUCACACUCAUAUAAUCAAUACACUUUACCCAUAAUGCAUCACUCGCAGCGCUCUGAAGGAUCGUUGUUGUAUUUAAUAGUGAAUUAUCUGAAAGCAAUUUAACCUUGAAACUCUAAAGAAGAUGAUAUAAUGCA